GACGAACGCUGGCGGCGUGCUUAACACAUGCGAGUCGAACGGAAAGGCCCUGCUUUUGUGGGGUGCUCGAGUGGCGAACGGGUGAGUAACACGUGAGUAACCUGCCCUUGACUUUGGGAUAACUUCAGGAAACUGGGGCUAAUACCGGAUAGGAGCUCCUGCUGCAUGGUGGGGGUUGGAAAGUUUCGGCGGUUGGGGAUGGACUCGCGGCUUAUCAGCUUGUUGGUGGGGUAGUGGCUUACCAAGGCUUUGACGGGUAGCCGGGCUGAGAGGGUGACCGGCCACAUUGGGACUGAGAUACGGCCCAGACUCAUACGGGAGGCAGCAGUGGGGAAUAUUGCACAAUGGGCGGAAGCCUGAUGCAGCAACGCCGCGUGCGGGAUGACGGCCUUCGGGUUGUAAACCGCUUUCGCCUGUGACGAAGCGUGAGUGACGGUAAUGGGUAAAGAAGCACCGGCUAACUACGUG
rnacentral:rRNA from 1 species